UGUUGCUUCGGCGGGUAGGCGUCCCCUAAAAAGGACGUCUCCCGGCCCUCUCCCGUCCGCGGGUGGGGCGCCCGCCGGAGGAUAACCAAACUCUGAUUUAACGACGUUUCUUCUGAGUGACACAAGCAAAUAAUCAAAACUUUUAACAACGGAUCUCUUGGUUCUGGCAUCGAUGAAGAACGCAGCGAAAUGCGAUAAGUAAUGUGAAUUGCAGAAUUCAGUGAAUCAUCGAAUCUUUGAACGCACAUUGCGCCCGCCAGCAUUCUGGCGGGCAUGCCUGUUCGAGCGUCAUUUCAACCCUCAAGCUCUGCUUGGUGUUGGGGCUCUACGGUUGACGUAGGCCCUUAAAGGUAGUGGCGGACCCUCUCGGAGCCUCCUUUGCGUAGUAACAUUUCGUCUCGCAUUGGGAUUCGGAGGGACUCUAGCCGUAAAACCCCCAAUUUUACUAAGGUUGACCUCGGAUCAGGUAGGAAUACCC
rnacentral:rRNA from 1 species